UACGUAGGGUGCAAGCGUUAUUCGGAAUUACUGGGCGUAAAGCGUGCGCAGGCGGUUUUGUAAGUCUGUCGUGAAAUCCCCGGGCUCAACCUGGGAAUGGCGAUGGAGACUGCAAGGCUAGAAUCUGGCAGAGGGGGGUAGAAUUCCACGUGUAGCAGUGAAAUGCGUAGAUAUGUGGAGGAACACCGAUGGCGAAGGCAGCCCCCUGGGCUAAGAUUGACGCUCAUGCACGAAAGCGUGGGGAGCAAACAGG
rnacentral:rRNA from 1 species